rnacentral:rRNA from 1 species
CAGUCGCCACGGUAAUACGAAGGGUGCAAGCGUUACUCGGAAUUACUGGGCGUAAAGCGUGCGUAGGUGGUGGUUUAAGUCCGUUGUGAAAGCCCUGGGCUCAACCUGGGAAUUGCAGUGGAUACUGGGUCACUAGAGUGUGGUAGAGGAUAGUGGAAUUUCUGGUGUAGCAGUGAAAUGCGUAGAGAUCGGAAGGAACAUCUGUGGCGAAGGCGACUAUCUGGGCCAACACUGACACUGAGGCACGAAAGCGUGGGGAGCAAACAGGAUUAGAUACCCCAGUAGUCCCUGUCUCUUAUAC